rnacentral:rRNA from 1 species
UACAGAGGGUGCGAGCGUUAAUCGGAGUUACUGGGCGUAAAGGGCGCGUAGGUGGUUUAUUAAGAUGGAUGUGAAAUCCCUGGGCUUAACCUAGGAACUGCAUUCAUGACUGGUAAACUGGAGUACAGUAGAGGGUAGUGGAAUUUCCGGUGUAGCGGUGAAAUGCGUAGAUAUGCGGAGGAACACCGAUGGCGAAGGCAAUCCCCUGGGCCUGCAUUGACGCUCAUGCACGAAAGCGUGGGGAGCAAACAGG